AGUAUGACAGCAUCUUGUCUCGUAAAUAAAUGGCAAUUGUGAAAAGUAUGUCAAUUGUCCUUGACCACAUUAUAAACGAUGCGGCCGGCGGAAUUAUCUCUGACAUCACGAAUGAAGUGUUACCCAAAAAUAAACAACAAACUAUUCGCGUUCCCUCGCUCCCUCAGACCAACUGACCGGAUAAACUUAAAAACCCCUGACUUAUUUAAUUUGCAUAUCUGUCCCUCACGAUUGAGAGCGUCAUGUGUCACGUAAUACCGCGCCUAUUGUAUACCAUCACGGAAGAGAAGUAUGCGCAUCAGGUUGAGAACAGGGAGGAUAAAAGGGUGAUGAACAAUGUGAGAAGGAAGACAAAGAUAAUGGCUUGAAGAAAGGUAAAAGGAAACACAACGAAUAAAAGUUGGUGAGUUUUGCUCUGGAGCGUGACCGAGGGAGUGCAGCGAACCAGCUCUACGACACGUUUGCGCGUCCAAUUGAGAAGAGAUGAAACAGAGAACGUUAAAACGGAAUUCAAGUCGUAGACACUUCCCAAUCCCACCAUCGAACCCGUCACUCAUCAGUUGAGUUCCUACACUGAGAGAAAUGUCCAGAAUAAAUUACUGUCCCGCGCACUAGAACUGAGGACGAAGCUCCACCCCUUGGUGGGGCUCAUCACUGGGCACCUUGUUGAUCAUUUAGAACAAAUAGGUAAGGGGAGCAAGCAUUGAUGCCCAAGAUGCAGGAUGAUGGAAGAAGACCCUCACCACCUAACCACAAGAUCCAGUGGGCUGGAGGAGUUCCGCUGGGAUGUCUUCAGGACCACAUGCGUUAAGGAAAUUUACGUUAAUAGGGACGGAAUCAAUGGACUCUACGAAUUUACGCCCAGGGCACAGAUACUGACACCUAUCGGCUGAGUGGCCUCCUAGAGCAGCGUGCAAAAUGGCCGAGAGGCUCAUUACACAUCCCGAAAGAGAUUGCCUAAAACUUUCUAAAAGUCUGAAGUCAUAUGUGGCUUCAUAGUAUUGACUAAGCAGCACUAUAAAAUUUGAAGGUCUAUCAUUUUUUAUCUGAGGUUAAAUGAAAAAUAGGUAGAAAUCUUUGAAAAAUUCCUAUCUAGGUCAGUUCAUUUUAUUGGGCCUUUUUUACUCAAACAAACAGCAGUUGUACGGUAACUCAUUAUGAUUGGUUAACGAUGAGGGCCGAAUGUAGCCGAUUAUUGUCGACGUUGGACGUGGUCAUGUGACCUGUUGCAUCAGACUUUGAAUUUUUCUCAGGCCUGCAGUGUGCGCCGACAUUGCAAGACAGCACAGUAAUUUUUAUCAGAAUCACACUAUAAAAAUUGUCAGAUUUUUCUCUUCCAAUUUCCCCCUUCAAACUGUCUUUGCUGUCUCAUAGAACCACUAUAUUUUAAGAUUUAUUCUUCACUCUCUUUAGCGAUUAGAAACCCCACUGAUUCCUUAUUAUUAAUAAUCUUCGAAAUAUCUUCUUAUUCUCUUAUUAUUUAAACAGCUAAACUAACAGACAAAUACUUGUAACCUAGUACUAUCGAUUAUAAUAUACAUUUCCAAAUAUGCGCUACUCCCAGUCGUUUCAUUUUUCCAAAAACCUCUCCAAAAGACAUCCCAUCAUGACCCUAUCUACUUCAGUUCCAAACUACUCAUUACAUGAGUAACAUCCACCCCACUCUGAAUAGUAUCUCGCUCUUACCAUCUCCAGUUGUAACAAUUUGAGUACCUUUAUAGAUAAGAAACAUUUAAACUCAUUCGACAGUUGAGUUUUUAUUAUACAACAGAUGGAGCAUCCAGUGAGGGCCUUUACGACGAGGUCACGACAGUCACGUUUUUAAUAACAAGAGUGUUCCUGGAAUCAGGAGUAGAUCCACGAAUCUUCAUCAUCCUGGACUCCCUCCUGAUAACUAAUCAACCACCCUGACCAUUUAUCUAUUGUCUCCUGUCUUUAUCCGCGAGCAAAAUUGAACAAAAUGAUGAAUGUGAUGGAGAUGGUGUUCAGCUCGACCGUGAUGGUGGAUUCUCAGUAAAUAAAAUACAUAAACUCAUAUUUAUUCGUGAAAUAAAACUGAUAUUUUGUUUGAGAAAUUCUAAUUGAAGUGCUAAAUUAAUACUGAACUUAAAAUUAAAAGAGUCCUCAGUUUCACGCGCCUGGAGAUCUAGGGGAAGAGGGGGUGAAGGUUUUGGAACUUGUGACGUAGAAAGGGUGAGGGUGGGUGGUGACUUUGAAUGACAGGUUUUAGAGAAAAAACAUUUCUUCCUCUUGCUAUUCUUUAAUGAAGUAAUAAUUAAAUUAUAAUUCACUGUGUGAAAAUUAUUUUUCUGCUGCCCAUAUUCCAUAACAAGACCCAAGAUAAAAAUUGAUGAAUAUGUUGAUGGGUCGCCUCUGCAGAAAAAUAAAGAAUUGCUACAAAUAAUGUAGUUGGUGGAUCAUAAAAAAUGGGUCUUGUUUCAAAAGUAGUCCACAAUGAAUUAAUUUUGAGAUUUUACAUUUUUAGAGUUUAAAAUUUGAAUCCUCAACCGCUUCAAAAUUCCAUAAACCGAAAUCGUCAGUUGAAUACUCCCCUAGUUUUAGCUUCAUAUCAAAACUGUAAGUGGAUGAAGCUUUUACAAAUCAAAAGAACAUUCUGAUUUAAUGGCGACGGAAAUUAAAUAUAAAACCAACAGAUCAUAAUUGUCUAGACAGAAUGCUUUACUGACUCAUCUUCUUGGGUAAAACGCGGAGGAAAUGGUCCCUUGGUGCCUUGGGUUUCUCUUCAUGGGGAAGUGACUUCAUCGCAUACGAACAGUAUGGACAGAAUUUGGGGGCCUACACUGAGAGAAAAAUUUAGUAAAAUGUACUAAACCUAUUUGUUUGCGACCAAAAUUGGUUGUUUUUACUAAAUUAGAUUUAAAACACUCAAACAUUUUUUUGAAAUAACCAAAUAUUUCGUUAAUUUGAUAUUUUGAUAGAUUAGCGUCAAUUUAGCAUUUCUUAACAAAUAUGUAGUAAAAGUGAAAGAAUAUACUCUUAAUCACACAGUUAUAUAAAAUUGAACCAGAAAAAUGAAUUAUUCAAUUCUACUACAUUAAUUUAUUGUAAGAAUGGAGCAUAUGAAGUUGAAUGUUUAUUCUUUACGUUCGUCGAGACGUGUAAUUCCAAUAUGAAACCACUAUACGAGCUUCAUUGAUUUCUUAUAAUAAAUGAAUAACAAAAGCAAAAUAAGAAUUUGAAAAAAUUAUUUAUGGAACCAAAAAUUAAUUAUAUUCCCUAUGCAUAAGUUAAUCGAACAACCAAACAAAAACUGAAAACACAAAAAGAUUAUUGAAAAUAUAAAUUAUAAAUAUUAUAAUUUGAACAACCGACUGUAAUGGUUGGGCGAGUGCGGUGUUGCUCCGGCGAUCAUUGAUGCUAAGCAGCGUUUCACUGGGAUACUACUUGGAUGGGUGACCGCUUGGGAACACCGUUUGCUCGCUCAAAAAUUACUGCACAGAAGGCACGGGUGUGGGGACCCAGUGUACGAGUGUACCCUUCUGUCACACUGACUAGAAGGGUACACUGGGUCCCUGCACUAUCGGCCGACUGUACGGUAGAGGUUUUCCAUGGUUUCCCUCUACUCCUGUGCAAAUGCAGUACAGUUGGGGAAAAAAGUCGGUCCCAUGGCACCGCAGGGGAAGGGAACAAAAUGUAAAAACCCGAGAGGGUAUACAUGUGAAAAUAAAUAAUAAUAGUAUAAUUUGAACAAAAAAUUAUUCAAAUUGGGAAUUAUAUUUCCUGAAACAAGUAUUUUUUUCGUUGAUCUUUAGUAGUAAUUUUAUUCAUCUAAGCAUUUCAUAUGUUGUUUCUUAUAACACAUUUUGUUAUUUUUAACCAUUUAUCUUCGUAGAGUAUUGCAAUAUUGACUUGAAUUAGUAACAACUAUGUCUGAAAUUAUCCUGUUUUUUGUUUAAAGUAGAAAA